AAGACUCUCGGCAACGGAUAUCUCGGCUCUUGCAUCGAUGAAGAACGUAGCGAAAUGCGAUACUUGGUGCGAAUUGCAGAAUCCCGUGAACCAUCGAGUCUUUGAACGCAAGUUGCGCCCGAAGCCAUUAGGCCGAGGGCACGCCUGCCUGGGUGUUGCACAU
rnacentral:rRNA from 1 species